GGGGAAUAUUGCACAAUGGGCGAAAGCCUGAUGCAGCGACGCCGCGUGAGUGAUGACGUAUUUCGGUAUGUAAAGCUCUAUCAGCAGGGAAGAUAAUGACGGUACCUGACUAAGAAGCCCCGGCUAACUACGUGCCAGCAGCCGCGGUAAUACGUAGGGGGCAAGCGUUAUCCGGAUUUACUGGGUGUAAAGGGUGCGUAGGUGGUAUGAUAAGUCAGAAGUGAAAGGUGAGGGCUCAACCCUUAGACUGCUUUUGAAACUAUCAAACUAGAGUGCAGGAGAGGUAAGUGGAAUUCCUAGUGUAGCGGUGAAAUGCGUAGAUAUUAGGUGGAACACCAGUGGCGAAGGCGGCUUACUGGACUGUAACUGACACUGAGGCACGAAAGCGUGGGGAGCAAAC
rnacentral:rRNA from 1 species